rnacentral:rRNA from 1 species
UACGUAGGGUGCAAGCGUUGUCCGGAAUUAUUGGGCGUAAAGAGCUCGUAGGCGGUUUGUCGCGUCUGCUGUGAAAUCUCCAGGCUCAACCUGGAGUCUGCAGUGGGUACGGGCAGACUUGAGUGCGGUAGGGGAGAAUGGAAUUCCUGGUGUAGCGGUGGAAUGCGCAGAUAUCAGGAGGAACACCGAUGGCGAAGGCAGUUCUCUGGGCCGUAACUGACGCUGAGGAGCGAAAGCGUGGGGAGCGAACAGG